AUCACCAAGGGAUGUGACGGCACAGUUUCACAAUCCACGAGCCACAGGCUGGCCUCCCACUAACAUGGGACUGGAACUACUUCCCACCAUGCCUCCCAGCACUGCCAGUAUCCAGCAGGACACACUCCUCUCUCAGAUGUGGUGCUGUGAAAAGCGCUAUUAAAUCUGAGUUACUGACAAAGAAGGUGUUGGUAUUUAUAGAAAAUGAGGAACUACCUCAGAAAUUCUACAGAUGUAAUUGUGUCUAUUGUAUCAACAAGUCCCGCUGGAUAAAAAUAGGAAUGACAAUAUCUAGGGUGUCCUGCCCAUUAGUCCAACUGGUGAUGAGUAAUGCAGCCAAAUGCACGUCAGUAAAUCCUACCCAGUAAAUCCUACCUACCACACCAUGCUUCAGAAACCCUCUUGGCACUCUUCUUUAAGAGAGAAGCCACAAAAGCAUAAAGGUUUAAUCUGCAUGUAUUCAAAAUCAUGAUGAGGCAAAGAUUCAAAUAAAGUGUAUUAGUUGCUCCAAAUAUGUCUCAGUAAAAAACUAUCUCUGCUUACAAUUCAAAGAUUGUACCCUCUU